UCCCCGUUGCCGGGGCAGUUUCAGUAGAAAAAUACAACUACUGACAAGGGUUGCGCUCGUUGAUGGACUUAACCAAACAUCUCACGACACGAGCUGACGACGGCCAUGCAUCACCUGUCACCGUGCUCAAUAAAGCACUCCGGACUUUCGUCCAGAUUCACGGGAUGUCAAGCCCUGGUAAGGUUCUUCGCUUAUCAUCGAAUUAAAGAACAUCAUCCACCUCUUGUGCGGUCCCCCGUCAAUUCCUUUAUGUUUUAAGCUUGCGCUCGUACUCCACAGGUGGGAUGCUUAACGCGUUAGCUUCGCUACCGAGGGGGUCGAUACCCCCGACAGCUAGCAUCCAUAGUUUACGGCGUGGACUAC
rnacentral:misc_RNA from 1 species